rnacentral:rRNA from 1 species
CCUACGGGAGGCAGCAGUGGGGAAUAUUGCACAAUGGGGGGAACCCUGAUGCAGCGACGCCGCGUGGGUGAAGGAGUAUUUCGGUAUGUAAAGCCCUUUCAGCAGGGAAGAACAGUGACGGUACAUGACUAAGAAGCACCGGCUAAAUACGUACCAGCAGCCGCGGUAAUACGUAUGGUGCGAGCGUUAUCCGGAUUUACGGGGUGUAAGGGGAGCGCAGGCGGGGUGUUAAGCCUGUUGUGAAAGCCCGCGGCCCAACCGUUGGACUGCAUUUGGAACUGGCGCGCGUGAGUGCCGUAGGGGUAGGCGGAAUUCCUAGUGUAGCGGUGAAAUGCGUAGAUAUUAGGAGGAACACCAGUGGCGAAGGCGGCCUACUGGACGGUGACUGACGCUGAGGCUCGAAAGCGUGGGGAGCAAACAGGAUUAGAUACCCCAGUAGUC